AGCCGAGGACACACGUCCCCCAAGUCUAUAGGAAAGGCCACGGUUAGGCGAGGACAAGCACCCCCAAACGUCUAAGCAACUCAAACCCCAAGUCGGGCCAAGUGCCCCGCCAUUCAAGUAAGUACGACUAAGCUCAAAAUUAAAAUAUUUGCCCGCGUAAAGUUCGGCCUAACUCGAACUAACAGGCCGUGAUCUCGUAACCACGGCCAGCAGUUCAACUAAGCCAAAACUGGGACUAAGGCUAUAUGCUGAGGCUAUGUUCCGCCACCACCCCAACGCAUCCAUAACCAGCUCCCGUCAAAGCGGAGGUAGGUGACGACCGAAAACGUAUAUCUACGACCAAGACCAUCCUAGCCGAUAGCCCCUUAAGACCAAGGAUCAAUCACACAACGGUCGAAUCCAUCUAACUAGUCGAGACUAUUAACGUGCUCGCUGGAGAAACUCUAAAGCAAGGCCCUUAUAAACGGGGCACACACACUAAAACAAACAAGGAAAAAGAAAGUAUAUUUACAACAUUUACACGGGGAUGCCCCCAAUUACAUUGGCCCAAGGCCGGCAAAGAAAACAAAAAAGAAAGAGAAAAUGAAAACUAAAACAAACAUUACAAAUUUUCCCAUCUAUUCACUCGGCUCCCCCAGCGCCCCCUGCAGCACUAUCAGCGCCCUCGGCACCGUCGUCACCCCCAGGCAUCGACGGGUCGAAGCCGCACUCGAGGCAGGCUUCACGAGCCUUUUGACGUGCCUUCUCGUAAGUGUUCUCAGACACGACGCCGGCCUCCCACAACCACACUCGGCGCCACCUGCAGCACUAUUAGCGCCCUCGGCGCCGUCUUCACCCCCGGGCGUGGACGGGUCGAAGCCGCAGUCGAGGCGGGAUUCACGAGCCUUUUGAUGUACCUCCUCAUAAGUGUUAUCAGACACGACGCCGGCCUCCCGCAACCGCCUAUACACAUCGAGCUGGGCCUCGGCAUACGUCUAAAGCUCACGGGCAGGACCACAAGAAGUGGUCUAAUCUGUAAAGCGCUGAUUCUCAGCAUCCAAGGCCGCUAUCCUAUCCGCCGUAGCACGGGCGUCCCGAUCACAGACAGCAAUGCGCCCCUCUAAUGAUUGUUCUCUGAAAGCAGCGGCGGUCCUCUCUAAUUCGCGCUCCCUUUCCUCGUCACGAUUAGCCGCCUGCAGUGCUUCAACCCUUGCUAGGACGUCCUCUUCCCGCCUCCUUGAAGUGGUGGCCUUAGACUCUAAGGCACCCACCUGCCUGAUAUAGGCUUCAGCAGCCUCUGCUGCAGCCAGAUUUUGGCACUCCCUCUCAGCUGCCGCCCUUCUCUCAACUUCGGCCCUUCAUUCGCAUGGCGGAGCUGCUUCUCAAGAGUGGUUACCCUGCUGAGGGUCUGUUGCAUGCAAAGAUCCCUCCGUGCCAACUCCUCUACCACCUCCCGGUUCUGCGGGUCGCUCCUUAUGCGUUCUCGCAGAUCACGGCACCGGUCGCGGUAAUGGCGAUACUUCACCAACAAUCGCGUAUAAACCGCCGAGCGGACGCGAGCACGCGAGCCCGCCUGAUACUCUCUACUACCAACAGAAAUGACUACAAUAAACAAGAGCAACAAUUAGCACAAGAAGGCAUACUGAGAAAGAAAAACAACCAAAGAUUCAUACAAACCUUUAUACUCUGGGCUGCCACCUCGCCCAUCAAUCCGAUGUCCGAGAUAUUCCUCAAGGACGCACUCUGCGCAUCGAAGCGCAGAACCCCGAACAGCGUUACCAGGUUCUCCUCCUCAAGAAGCAGGUUCUGGUCGUUAAGAAUCUCCAAAUAACGGAAAUCCCCUUCGGCCUGCGCCGCUGGGCGACUAAAGCCCUCCUGAAACGUGUGGAUAUCCUCAGGAUCCAUAUCGGAUUCAGAAUCGUCUCCCUCUCCUGAGGCGCCCCUUUUUUACGCCUCCCGGGAAGUUGAGGCCUCCGUCGCCUGAGACGUCGAAGCAUCUGCAUUCGCUGAAGUAUCGGCGCCCGUCCUCUCCACCAAAAUAGUUGCCGAGGAACUAACCUCCCUCUUAGCAACAGGAAUUGAAAGUUGAAUCGCCGAAGCGACUGUAUCAUCUUGUCCUAGGCCAACCGGGG
rnacentral:lncRNA from 1 species